rnacentral:rRNA from 1 species
GACGGAGGAUGCAAGCGUUAUCCGGAAUCAUUGGGCGUAAAGCGUCCGCAGGUGGCAGUUCAAGUCUGCUGUCAAAGACCGGGGCUUAACUUCGGAAAGGCAGUGGAAACUGAACAGCUAGAGUAUGGUAGGGGCAGAGGGAAUUCCCGGUGUAGCGGUGAAAUGCGUAGAGAUUGGAAAGAACACCGAUGGCGAAGGCACUUUACUAGGCUAUUACUAACACUCAGAGACGAAAGCUAGGGUAGCAAAUGGG